GAGAGAGAGAGAGCAUACCGCACGGGAGAGAGGGAGCGCAUGAACGGACAAGAUCUGGUGGACGCUGAUGAGGACGAUGAUGGUGGAUUCGAGGUAACAGUGAGGGUCUACAAGCGAGAGGAACACCGGCCACCUGAUCUAGGGUUUCUGGAAGGGUUGGUUGUCUGGCAAGAGUUCCAGCAACUCCGAUGAAGUUAUGCAUUUUUCCAAAUUGGUCAUGUCUUGUAUAUGUUAAGAGGAAAAGUGAAUGAACAGUUAUCAGUUUAUUUGGUAUUUGACAUCAUAUCCCUUGCUUUCAACAAUGGGCGAUGGGGCGAUCUACAGUUGCUUGCUUGGUUAAAAAUGUAAGAUGAUGAUGGUGAAGGUUCUGGUGCUUAAGGGUUCUGCUGUGACAGAGGAAGGGAAAUGAACAGUAGAGGGGUAAUUGGGUAAAAUCAACAGAAGAGGAUUUGUGUGUUGGUUCCAUUUUGGUGUUACUACAACUACAUGCGGUGGCUAGAUUUUAUAAGUGUGCUAGACAGUGAAGUUUGGUGGUAGGGCUUACAAACCAGAUCGGCACAUGCAUGUUCAAUAUCCGGUGAAGUUUCCAACAAUUCGAUCUGAUCCAAAGUUAGGGAGUGGAUAGACGUAAGUGUAAAUUCUCCUCGGAUGUCAAGAGAAACUACAUACAAAAUGUCACUAAACGAUGUCAUACUCAGUUGUUCAAGGCAAGUAUUUUGAUUGUAUGUUAAAUAACAUCAUUAUUAGUAAUUAAUUUUGA